UACGUAGGGGGCUAGCGUUGUCCGGAAUCAUUGGGCGUAAAGAGCGUGUAGGCGGCCCGGUAAGUCCGCUGUGAAAGUCGGGGGCUCAACCCUCGGAUGCCGGUGGAUACUGUCGGGCUCGAGUACGGAAGAGGCGAGUGGAAUUCCUGGUGUAGCGGUGAAAUGCGCAGACAUCAGGAGGAACACCUAUUGCGAAGGCAGCUCGCUGGGACGUUACUGACGCUGAGACGCGAAAGCGUGGGGAGCAAACAGG
rnacentral:rRNA from 1 species